rnacentral:lncRNA from 1 species
AUUCUUUCAAACUACAGUGCAGAACUUCUCAAUGUGCGUCCCUAAUGGGAAGGGAAUGGUCUUCAGCUGGGAAAUGGAAGAAGGUGAGCCCAAGAAAAUGGCAGAAGUCCCUGGGAAAGCCUAGGCUUAGUCUUCAUGAGCACUGCAACUUCACUUGUUAAAGAUGUGGUGAUCUUGAUGUGUGGUCAUUCAAUAAAGCUCUAGGAAUGGACGAGGAAGAAAGGAGGCAGAGAAGGGAUGCUGAGGGAACUGGACACAGAAUGGGAGCCCCAAUCCCAAAAGCAGGAAGCACUCAGGGUGCUACAGCAGAUCAGCCCUUGGGACACCUCACUCGUCAGCCCUGUCCACCAGGGAGUGUGAAUCUGAGCAGAGCGAAUUAUGUCUGGCCGGACUGUGGGAAGAGGGACAUGUCCUGGCACCAAGACUUCAAGUUCUUCUUCAGAGUGUGACAUACAAGAGAUCAGGGUCGACAGCGAAGACUCAAGGUGACGAGGCAGGAAAGGACCGCUCAGACAUCAGGCUGAAACACACACAUGAUGAGAAGACUUUUCUUAAAACCACCGGGAUGUCAAACUUGUUCGGGGAGAAGUUCGGCCUGAUGAGCACGCCACUCUUGGGUGGGCCACGUGUGACAGGAUGAAAAUCAUGCUGUUCUUGAGAGGAAGAGAAGUGCAACCACUAAAAAGCCAAACCAACAUGCUACUGCAGGGAACUGGCGUGGCUUGGAUGGCCCCCAGAAAGACACAUGAAGCCCUAACACCCGCUAUCUCAGAAUGGGACCUGACUUGGAAAUGCAGCACUGUAGAAGCAAUCAAGUUAAGAAUGAGGUCGUCAGCCAGGAGACCGAGCCGGUGAGGACUCCCAGGCUUGCCCACCAGCCUCCAGCUUGGCCACACAGGCGCCUGCAACAAGAGACACCACCCAACCCCCCACCCCACCCCCGCCUCUUGGCUGUACAGCUACGUGGAUCCACACUACAGAGGCACAGGAGAGCAUAAAGGCCAUUGUUCUGAGGUGCAGAAGUGAACAACAGAGAGAGGGGCUCUCUCAGGCUCCCUGAUGAAAACUGAAGCCCACUGGAAAAAUGAAGAGAAUCUCUGCAAUAAAGGCACACCAGACCACCAAGCUUGGUAAAUUGGAGGGAUCAUCACCUCCCAUCAGAACCUGGACUAUCUUCAGGGGAAG